AUUGGCUCAAUUGGUAGAGCAUCGGACUCCAAAUUCGAGGGUUGGGGGUUCGAGUCCCUCAUC
rnacentral:tRNA from 1 species